rnacentral:lncRNA from 1 species
CCGGCCGGUACCAGUCCGAGCUCUGGUCCCCACGGUCAUCACGCUUUGCUUUCUCAGCCAAGAUCUCGGGGCUCAGGGCGGAAACGCAGCGGAUAUGUAUUUUCUUCCGGGGUUGGUGGCGCUCGGCUCUCAUGACCUGCAGGUGACAGUGUUGGCCGGUGGCGCGGCCCUGCUUGCCUCGUGCCCCGCCCUUCGUGCUUGAAAAAAAAUCCCGCGAAGCCUUCUCCGAAAGAACAUGCUGGUUCUUUGGUUGUCAGUGCCUUACAAGCCCUGGAGGCGGGGGAAAAGAAGAAGAAAUGGCAGUAAAGAGGGCAACCAUCAUUCCACCCAGCCCAAAAGGAAUAAGAGAAACCCUAUCUUUCAGGAUUCUCAAGAUACAGAGUUUUCAUGGAGUGAUAAUGAAAGGAGCAGCAGCCGCAUUAAUAUCCCAGAGAGAGCAAGUGGACCAGAAGGCAACUUAAACCAGAUUGUUACUGAACCCGAUGCAAACUUUCCCCAGUUCUUGCAUGAGGGGUAUGUACCAUGCCAAGGUCUUUACUCCCAUAUCAACCAGACCUUGAAGGAGGCUCACUUCAACAGCCUGCAGCAGCGAGGGCAAGCUCCAACAUGAUGAAUUAGGACUUCCUUAUUCCAACCUAAACUGUGUUUAUAAAAGCAAUUGCAUACACACCAAAAAAAGUCUAUUGGUUUUUAAGUCUACAUUUUAAGUAACAAGUUAAUGGGCAGUUGUUUAAUUGGGGUUUUACUUCACUGUUGUACUUUUAAAGGGGCUGUGAAUAAAUGUUUAUGAAAUU